UCAAGGCAGCAGCUUUGAGGCAGGCUUCUGCAGAACAACCAUGAAAAAGUACCUGUGUGCCUGCUGGGUGGUUUUCUGGCUGCAUUAUCAGUGGGUGGCUGGCCAGACCCAAGUGGAGCAAAGUCCCCAGUCCCUGGUUGUCCGUCAGGGAGAGAGCUGUGUCCUGCAAUGCAGCUACACUGUGAUCCCCUUCAACAACUUAAGAUGGUACAAACAAGACACAGGCAGGGGUCCUGUGUUCCUGACAGUCCUGACUCACAAAGAAGACAAGACAUCAAAUGGGAGAUACUCAGCCUCUCUGGAUGAAGAUGCUAAGCACAGCACCCUGAACAUCACAGCUUCCCUGCUGGAUGACACUGCCACCUACCUCUGUGUGGUGGGCGCACCGUGCUCCCCAGACACUCACAGCCAGUACUGA